rnacentral:misc_RNA from 1 species
UUAAGUUCAGCGGGUAGUCCUACCUGAUUUGAGGUCAGAGUCAAAAAUUGCCCGAGGGCGAUUGUAAGCAGUCAUCACAACCUUCACCGACGAAACUUAUUACGCCGACUACGGUGCUAUCCCGCUAAGUCUUUUAAGGCGAGCCGGCAGAGCGGCAACACCCAAGUCCACCACUCCCAACCCAAAGGAUCAGAGAGUGU